AACGAACGCUGGCGGCAUGCCUAACACAUGCAAGUCGAACGAACCCUUCGGGGUUAGUGGCGCACGGGUGCGUAACGCGUGGGGAUCUGCCCUUUGCUUCGGAAUAACAGUUAGAAAUGACUGCUAAUACCGGAUGAUGUCGUAAGACCAAAGAUUUAUCGGCAAAGGAUGAACCCGCGUAGGAUUAGCUAGUUGGUGGGGUAAAGGCCUACCAAGGCGACGAUCUUUAGCUGGUCUGAGAGGAUGAUCAGCCACACUGGGACUGAGACACGGCCCAGACUCCUACGGGAGGCAGCAGUGGGGAAUAUUGGACAAUGGGCGAAAGCCUGAUCCAGCAAUGCCGCGUGAGUGAUGAAGGCC
rnacentral:rRNA from 1 species